rnacentral:rRNA from 1 species
UGCCUAACACAUGCAAGUCGAGGGGGAAGCCAUCUUCGGAUGGUGGAGACCGGCGCACGGGUGAGUAACGCGUGGGGAUUUACCUUGGAGUGGGGAAUAACCGCUGGAAACGGCGGCUAAUACCGCAUACGCCCUUAGGGGGAAAGCUUUAGCGCUCUAGGAUGAGCCCGCGUUAGAUUAGGUAGUUGGUGGGGUAAAGGCCUACCAAGCCUACGAUCUAUAGCUGGUCUGAGAGGAUGAUCAGCCACACUGGGACUGAGACACGGCCCAGACUCCUACGGGAGGCAGCAGUGGGGAAUAUUGGACAAUGGGGGCAACCCUGAUCCAGCCAUGCCGCGUGCGUGAAGAAGGCCUUAGGGUUGUAAAGCGCUUUCACUGGUGAAGAUGAUGACGGUAGCCAGAGAAGAAGCCCCGGCUAACUCCGUGCCAGCAGCCGCGGUAAUACGGAGGGGGCAAGCGUUGUUCGGAAUUACUGGGCGUAAAGGGCGCGUAGGCGGGGUGUCAAGUUAGGGGUGAGAGGCCUGGGCUCAACCUGGGAACUGCCUCUAAAACUGGCACUCUAGAGUCCGGGAGAGGAUGGCGGAAUUCCCAGUGUAGAGGUGAAAUUCGUAGAUAUUGGGAAGAACACCAGUGGCGAAGGCGGCCAUCUGGUCCGGCACUGACGCUGAGGCGCGAAAGCGUGGGGAGCAAACAGGAUUAG